rnacentral:rRNA from 1 species
CCUACGGGUGGCAGCAGUGGGGAAUAUUGGGCAAUGGGCGCAAGCCUGACCCAGCAACGCCGCGUGAAGGAAGAAGGCUUUCGGGUUGUAAACUUCUUUUGUCAGGGACGAAGCAAGUGACGGUACCUGACGAAUAAGCCACGGCUAACUACGUGCCAGCAGCCGCGGUAAUACGUAGGUGGCAAGCGUUAUCCGGAUUUACUGGGUGUAAAGGGCGUGUAGGCGGGACUGCAAGUCAGAUGUGAAAACCACGGGCUCAACCUGUUGCCUGCAUUUGAAACUUUAGUUCUUGAGUACUGGAGAGGCAGACGAAAUUCCUAGUUGAGCUGUGAAAUGCGUAGAUAUUAGGAGGAACACCAGUGGCGAAGGCGGUCUGCUGGACAGCAACUGACGCUGAGGCGCGACAGCGUGGGGAGCAAACAGGAUUAGAUACCCCAGUAGUC